AGUGAACGCUGGCGGUAGGCCUAACACAUGCAAGUCGAACGACAGCACAGUAAGAGCUUGCUCUUACGGGUGGCGAGUGGCGGACGGGUGAGGAAUACAUCGGAAUCUACUUUUUCUUGGGUGAUAACGUAGGGAAACUUACGCUAAUACCUCAUACGACCUACGGGUGAAAUCAGGGGAUCUUCGGACCUUGCGCGAUUGAAUGAGCCGAUGUCGGAUUAGCUAGUUGGCGGGGUAAAGGCACACCAAGGCAACGAUCCGUAGCUGAUCUGAGAGGAUGAUCAGCCACACUGGAACUGAGACACGGUCCAGACUCCUACGGGAGGCAGCAGUGGGGAAUAUUGGACAAUGGGCGCAAGCCUGAUCCAGCCAUACCGCGUGGGUGAAGAAGGCCUUCGGGUUGUAAAGCCCUGUUGUUGGGAAAGAAAAGAAGCAGGUUAAUCCCCCGCUGUUCUGACGGUACCCAAAGAAUAAGCACCGGCUAACUUCGUG
rnacentral:rRNA from 1 species